GCAGGAACAAAAUCAUCUCUUUGGUCAGAUGGAGCAGUCACUGUGCUCCAGUGUGCCUGACACGGCGUGAGGGAGCCUUCAUUCUCCCCACAAGUGGAACAAGGAGGGCAGAUGUCCUGCUUUAUAAAAAGAUGCCAUAUUAAAAAAAGUUUUUGUUUUUUUUAAAUGCUGUAGUAUAUCGAGAGAUAUGUGAAUAGAACUGAUUGAAUUUGACCUAUGGUGUCUAGAACUGGGAGAUAUUUACGUGGAUGUAUAUAAUGUCAAUGGUCAGGGAGAACUCAGGAAUAGUUCUGGACAGAAUGAGGCUGAAGAAACAGGACACCUACGAGCAGCAUGAGAUCUUGUUUUGGCUCUCAAGGACCUAACGGCAGCUGGCACAACCCAAGCAGGGCUUCUGGGUAGAUGAGAAUUCUUUGUGGUGUUCUCACAAUCUCCUUAUAAGUAUGAAAUUAUUUCAAAGUAAGAGUAACAACUUUUGUUCAAAAACUUUUAUUUACUAUAAAGACAAAACACCAAAAUAGGGCCACCUGUGAAGAGAAGGAAAACAGCAGCUCCUCGCUCACAGCGGUGGCGACUUCCACACGAGUGAGACUUAGAUGGUGAAGCUUCCUACAAAUGAAACCAAUUACAGAAACUCGAUUCCAAGGUAACCUUGAUCUUGGCUCGCUGCUUCACUGAGAACAGUUGCUUUUCUCUGAAUUUACGUUUAGCCUGCACCAGAGAGCAGUGAUGGACUCAAUGAAGGUAGUAGUAAAACCCAAUUAAAAAAAACAAAAUUCUGUAUUAAAAAACUCUUGCCACAGCAAGAUAUUCAACAAACU